GGGCGCGGGAGUGCUUCACUCGCCGGCGACCGGCGCACGGGUGCGGAACGCGUAUGGAAUCUACCUCUUUCUGGGGAAUAGCCCAUGGAAACGUGGAUUAAUACCCCAUAGUAUUCAGAGAUCGCAUGAUCUCUGUCUUAAAGCUGUGGCGGAAAGAGAUGACCAUGCGUAUCAUUAGCUAGUAGGCGAGGUAACGGAUCACCUAUGCAACGAUGAUUAGGGGUCCUGAGAGGGAGAUCCCCCACACUGGUACUGAGACACGGACCAGACUCAUACGGGAGGCAGCAGUGAGGAAUAUUUGGACAAUGGUCGAAAGACUGAUCCAGCCAUGCCGCGUGCAGGAUGAAUGCCCUAUGGGUUGUAAACUGCUUUUAUAC
rnacentral:rRNA from 1 species